rnacentral:lncRNA from 1 species
UACUGUGGAUUCAUUUAUUUUCGUGGGUACCAAUUUUCGUGGAUUAAGGAAAAUUUGCAUGUUCGUGGAUAUUUGAUUUCGUGGUUUAGCACAAAUCUGCUUACUAGCCUAUAGAAAAUGUGAUAUUCGUUGAACAUUUAAUUUCGUGGUUUACCUGUUCCCACGAAUACCACGAAAAUUGAUAUCCAACGAAUAAUAAUGAAUCCACAGUAUAUAAAU